AAAAUCUAUGCUAAGUGGAAAAGGAUGUGGAGUUGCGUAGACAACUAGGACGUUGGCUUAGAAGCAGCCAUCAUUCAAAGAGUGCGUAAUAGCUCACUAGUCGAGUGGCGCUGCGCCGAAAAUUUACCGGGGCUAAGCAUAGUACCGAAACUGUGGAUGUGCGUAAGCACGUGGUAGGAGAGCGUUCUAAUUGCGGCGAAGCCUAAUCGAGAGGAUAGGUGGAGCGAUUAGAAGUGAGAAUGCCGGUAUGAGUAGCGAAAGAUAGGUGAGAAUCCUAUCCGCCGAAAGACUAAGGUUUCCUGGGGCAGGCUCGUCCGCCC
rnacentral:rRNA from 1 species